CCUACGGGAGGCAGCAGUGGGGAAUAUUGGACAAUGGGGGCAACCCUGAUCCAGCCAUGCCGCGUGUGUGAAGAAGGCCCUCGGGUUGUAAAGCACUUUCAGUGAGGAAGAACGCCUGGUGGUUAAUACCCAUCAGGAAAGACAUCACUCACAGAAGAAGCACCGGCUAACUCCGUGCCAGCAGCCGCGGUAAUACGGAGGGUGCGAGCGUUAAUCGGAAUUACUGGGCGUAAAGCGCGCGUAGGUGGCUUGAUAAGCCGGUUGUGAAAGCCCCGGGCUCAACCUGGGAACGGCAUCCGGAACUGUCAAGCUAGAGUGCAGGAGAGGAAGGUGGAAUUCCCGGUGUAGCGGUGAAAUGCGUAGAGAUCGGGAGGAAUACCAGUGGCGAAGGCGGCCUUCUGGACUGAUACUGACACUGAGGUGCGAAAGCGUGGGUAGCAAACAGGAUUAGAUACCCGUGUAGUC
rnacentral:rRNA from 1 species